CAGCCCUUGACAGUGCUAGUGUGUGUGUUGGUGUUUUUGAGCAGGCGUGUGUGUUCUUCGGACACAGGAGAGAGCUGCCACCGCCGCACUCAGCCCAGUGGAGGACACCAGGGCCAGAGGGAGAGAAGGAGAGAGAGAAGGGACAUAGAGCCAGGUUGCUAAAAAAUAAACUCCUCAGGGUUGUUGGAGAGUUGAUCUGGUUUCUACUGGGAAAAAGUUCUAGAGACCGCUAAGAUGUUUUUCCGCAUCCCUCGACUGACCCCUGGAUACAUCAGAUACUUGCAGACUCAAGCUGCCCAGACCAUGCUGCAGAGCCGGGAAGGCCCCAUGAUGUCGAGGGUGGCCAUGCUGCUAGGGCUGAUGGGAGUUGGGAUGUCUGGGUACAGCUCGCGACAGCUCACCCUGCACUGCAAGCCCUCCGCUAACCUGCUGAGAUGAGGCAAGACACAACACCUCUGACCUUCCACCCUGUCGGAGGUCACCAGACCCCGAGAAGACGACAACAUGGAUAAGAUCGAUCACUGGAGCAUAUUCAACACCCCUGGAUUCCACUUACACUACAAGAAUAAUUUGUCUCUGUUUCCUAAAAAGGUUUUGUUUUAGUUCAGUUUUUGUUCGUUACCCUUGCCCCUUUGAUUACCCCCUGUUGUGGUAGAAGUUUGGGACUGCUAUGGUGUGUGGUCAUCCACACCCCGUCCCCACCCAGUUAGCCGUCUAUUCUUCCCUCCAUUAAAAAUAUUGAUUCUUUAAACUACCUCUCCCUUUCAAACCAGUUAAAGUGUUAUUCAGCCAACACACAUCAAUCCAUUCUUAUUGAGCUCUUAAUGUUUUCUUGAACUGGUAACAUCCUCAACUUUAACCACCCAUUUUGUUUUGUAAUUCUGUGCCUUAAAGGGGGCGAUACAUUUAAAUCAGUUUAAAACACCAAAUGGUGUUACCUCACGCUAACCCAAGAAGACCAAAACCCAAGAAAUAAAGACAUCGCAAUUUAGAAAUAUUAAAUAUGUCAAAUAUUUUUCAAAACCUGCCGAAAUUCCCCAGUCUGCCUGUUUAUUGCCAUUCUCUUGUUUCUGUUUGGCAAGGCAUGUACACAGAGCUUAGCACCUCUGUCUUAGGGAAGGUAUCCAGUGUUUUCCUGAAUAAUGUCACGCAUGGCAGGAAAGGAGAGCGAAAUCAAAAUGGUAGCAUCUUGGAACUCCGAGAAUCCAGUUGGUCAUAGUGAUUAUACAUUUUUUUUUGUCUGUUAUCAUCAAUGCUCUUGAUUCUGGAGACAAGAUUCCUUCAUUUGGGACUUGCUUUACUUUCUUUGUCUGCUAUGUUUGCAGGCAAAGAAAUGCAGGAAAAAUCCUUUGACCAAGAUUCAAAAUGUACUCAACCGACCUGCUUCCAAUUGUAUUUUCUAAUGUCUUUUUUUAUUUGGUCAAGCCCAACUUUUUCCCAUUGAACCUAUUUGAUUUUGCACAGUGAAAAGAUUGAUAUUUUUACAUACAUUCUUUUCACCAAAACACUCUGACACUUUGCACUUUUUUAAGAAUGUAUGUGUGUGUGUACAUAAUAUGUACAUAAUGUACAUAUCUGAAUAUUUGAAGCUUGAAGAGAUUAGUAGAUGGUUAAGUGACAUGGAAAGUGACGCCAGAAUGGUUUGAGAACUAGUCUGGGUGGAAUCCAGCUGGAUUAACUCAUGGCACCACAGUUUGGUAUCAGGCAUCCAGGACAGCCACCCUGGAUGGACCUCACUGGAUGAAUGCCACCGUAUGUGUGAAUCCACCGAGAUUCCUCCCGGUUGUCCGCCAUGUUUGUCAGAAUAGGGAUGUUUAGAUUAAUGGCCUUAUGGUCUCUUAACAUAGCUAGCAUGAAAUACUAUUUAUAUUUCCUUUAGAUUCAGAACAUACAAUACACACUUUGUAAUAAGGGAAAUAACUUUAACACGACAGCAUAUGAAUAUAUCACCGACACAUUGAAUGUUUCUUAGUGGUAUACUGUAAUUGUAAACAUGAACGUACUGUAGGUUACUGUGUCAUAACCAUGGGAUCCCACUAGUCUGGUUCAGAGGAAACAGUGGAUGUAACCAGACCUUAGAUUUACACUGGAUUCUCCAAUACAACAGAUUACCAUGCCGUUGGUAGUAGUCCAGUGAUCCAGUGGUCUUCCAGUGAUCCAAUUAGGAGAAGUGUCUCUUUUAUGUCCAGCUUCACCAGUAUAAAGGGUUAGUGACCCUAAACAGAGACCCUGCUAUAAAGACCCAGACCAGUGAGAGGAACAUAGUAGGAGUUAUGAAACCCCUAGUUUAUCUUAGUCAAUGUAAUGUUGCAUGAACUUGGUGAAGAACUGGCACAGAAUUCAAUUCGGAACAUGAUUGAGAUUGAGAGCUGCAAUGGGGGAGUGAUGUUAUCUCAUACACAGUGUAAAGGGUCAUUGCUGUUUUAAUAAUGAUAGUACACUACAGUACUUUUUGUUUUACAAGGUUACAUUUCAUACCAAAAGGCUUACAAUAGGCCUAUCUUUGUAUCGUUGCUAAAUGUAACAAUGUUAUCAAUGUUGUUUAGGAAUGCCAUAGUGAAUUGAAGCAUUAUGACUGCUUCACAAAGCACCUUUGAAUAUCUAUUCAUGUUUAUUGUUAUGAUACAGCAUGUAUCAAUACUAUGAAUAAAAACCUAUAAACUGA